GGAAGGAUGUCAGAGCGGUUUAAUUUGCUCGCUUGGAAAGCGGGUGUACCUCACGGUACCGAGGGUUCGAAUCCCUCUCCUUCCACCA
rnacentral:tRNA from 1 species